rnacentral:rRNA from 1 species
GUGGGGAAUUUUGGACAAUGGGGGCAACCCUGAUCCAGCCAUUCCGCGUGAGUGAAGAAGGCCUUCGGGUUGUAAAGCUCUUUCGGCAGGAACGAAACGGUGGGGGCUAAUACCUCUCAUCAAUGACGGUACCUGAAGAAGAAGCACCGGCUAACUACGUGCCAGCAGCCGCGGUAAUACGUAGGGUGCGAGCGUUAAUCGGAAUUACUGGGCGUAAAGCGUGCGCAGGCGGUUUCGUAAGACAGAUGUGAAAUCCCCGGGCUUAACCUGGGAACUGCGUUUGUGACUGCGAGACUGGAGUGUGGCAGAGGGGGGUGGAAUUCCACGUGUAGCAGUGAAAUGCGUAGAGAUGUGGAGGAACACCGAUGGCGAAGGCAGCCCCCUGGGUUAACACUGACGCUCAUGCACGAAAGCGUGGGUAGCAAACAGGAUUAGAAACCCCGGUAGUCC